rnacentral:lncRNA from 1 species
GGGAUCUGAGACAGAAGUGCAGAGAUCUGGGUGAGUUGGAGUCCCACUGGCUGUCAGGUUCAGCAGAAGCAGGGCCUGUUCCCUGCAACUCCUGCUCAGAAGGUUGUAGCAGGACCCUCAUAGCUGCCAGGUCUGCAGAGGCAGGAGAGCCUGGAAAGCUGAUCACAGAUGCCCCUGCUCUGAAUGGAGUUCCUCCGGACCAGGGUUCCCAGGGAGGGGUGUGGCACCUUGGAGAGGGUCAGCCCUGUGGCCCUGCUGGCUGCCCUCCAGGCCAAUGCCCUUUCUUGGCAUCCCCUGUCACUGCUUCUCCGUGUGCAGAAAUCACCAUGGACAACAGCCUCCUAGCCAUAGUCGUGGCCACCGCCUCAUCCACAGUGUUCAUCAUGGCCAUCCUGCUGCUGCUACUGCACCGGCAUGAGCCCCAGUGCUGCCAGGUCCUCUGCACCUGCCACUUCUUCCGGAGUCCCAGCCAACACGACUGCCCACCUCCCUACUUCAGCACCAUGGGACACCACACUGAGGUCCAGCCAGUGGAAAGGAGCCAAGAGUUCCAGGGGAUACAGGUGAGGGAGGAGCCCCGGGCCUGUCACCCAGGACGGGGGAAGUGCGUGCUGGGGUUCUGAAGCCAGGCAAG